rnacentral:rRNA from 1 species
CCUACGGGAGGCAGCAGUGAGGAAUAUUGGUCAAUGGGCGGAAGCCUGAACCAGCCAAGUCGCGUGAGGGAUUAAGGCCCUGCGGGUCGUAAACCUCUUUUGCCGGGGAGCAGUGGUCCGGACGCGUCCGGACCGUGAGAGUACCCGGAGAAAAAGCAUCGGCUAACUCCGUGCCAGCAGCCGCGGUAAUACGGAGGAUGCGAGCGUUAUCCGGAUUUAUUGGGUUUAAAGGGGGCGUAGAUUGGUUGUUAAGUCAGUUGUGAAAGUUUGCGGCUCAACCGUAAAAUUGCAAUUGAUACUGGCAGUCUUGAGUGCAGUUGAGGUAGGCGGAAUGCGUGGUGUAGCGGUGAAAUGCUUAGAUAGCACGAAGAACUCCGAUUGCGAAGGCAGCUUACUAAACUGCCACUGACGUUGAUGCUCGAAAGUGUGGGUAUCAAACAGGAUUAGAUACCCGGGUAGUC